GAUGAACGCUGGCGGCUUGCCUAAUACAUGCAAGUCGAGCGAAGCGGGGACGGGUGAGUAACACGUGGAUAACCUCCUAUAAGACUGGGAUAACUUCGGGAAACCGGUGCUAAUCCGGUUACUUAUAGAUGGAUCCGCUCUUCAUUAGCUAGUUGGUAAGGUAACGGCUUACCCAGGCAACGAUGCAUAGCCGACCUGAGAGGGUGAUCGGCCACACUGGAACUGAGACACGGUCCAGACUCCUACGGGAGGCAGAAGUAGGGAAUCUUCCGCAAUGGGCGAAAGCCUGACGGAGCAACGCCGCGUGUGUGAAGAAGGUCUUCGGAUCGUAAAACUCUGUUAUUAGAGAAGCGGUAUCUAACCAGGAAGCCACGGCUAACUACGUGCCAGCAGCCGCGGUAAUAC
rnacentral:rRNA from 1 species